rnacentral:lncRNA from 1 species
CGAUAGGUCCACCAUCAUGUCCUUCACGUGGUUCAUCUAGCGUACCUAAAUGAGAUGCAAGAUACAAGUACAUGAACAUAUAGAAGUGCAAUAGACAAAGCAUCACACAUAAAAAGCAUGGCAAGAGCAUGGUUACACUAAACAUACUUAAGCACGUCUCAUUGCUCAACUUAAUGAUUACACAACCACAUGCUAAGUCAACAAGGAAUGCAACACUAAACAUAUUAGACAUGGCAUACAUGUUUCACAAGAUUUC